rnacentral:misc_RNA from 1 species
AAAUGCAUGACGUUGUUAGAGAUGCUGCUCUCUCAAUCGCAUCUAAAUCUCAACUUCUGUUUACAUUCAGAGAUAUAAUUGAAUCGAAGGAAUGGCCAACCAGGGAUCUCAGAAACUGCUCCAAAAUUUCUUUACCUUACUGUGAAAUACAUGAGCUUCCUGAACAGUUGGAGUGCCCAGAAUUAGAGUUACUUGUCCUCGGCAAGGGAUAUAUUCAUUCGAAAGGCCCUGAUUUGAAUAUCUCUGAUAUAUUUUUUGAAGGGAUUACAAAGCUCAAAGUAGUGCAUUUCACUGGGAUGUGUUUAUGGCCUCUGCCUUCAUCUCUUGGUUACUUAACAAACCUUCUUACCUUGUGUUUAGAUGAAUGUGUAUUGCGGGAUGCAUCUGUGAUAGGUGAACUGAAGAGAUUAGAGAUCCUCAGCUUUCGUGAAUCUGAGAUAAAACAGCUGCCUAGAGAAAUAGCUCAUUUGACGGGGCUGAAAUUGUUAGAUUUGGGCAACUGUGACAAACUCAAAGUUAUUCCAGCAAAUGUCAUUUCAAGGUUAUCCCUAUUGGAGGAAUUGUAUAUGCAAAAUAGCUUUUGUCAAUGGGAGCUUCAAGGUCUCAACAGUUCAAACAAUGCAAGCCUUGCUGAAUUGAAAAACCUGUCUAGGUUGACAACGUUGGAAAUAGAUGUUCCAGAUGUCAAGAUGUUACCGAAAGACUUAUUCUCUAAUAAGUUGGAACGGUAUGAUAUUGUUAUCGGAAAAAAGAGGUAUUGGUAUGAUGAGUAUUUAUCCUCAAGAAGGCGAAGGAUUCGGCUUAAUACAGACAUUCAUCUGGAUCAUGGAGUUGAUUUGUUGCUCAAGAAAGCAGAAGUUCUAUAUCUAGAUAAUGUGAAGGGGAUCAAGAGCAUUUUGUAUGACAUGGAUUGGGAAGGCUUUCCACAAUUAAAACAUCUCCACAUCCAAAAUGGUGAUGACAUUCAGUACGUUAUUAACUCAACAGCACGGGUCCCUAAUUUAAACGCCUUUCCCAUCCUGGAAUCUUUGUCUUUGGAGAAUUUGGUGAGCCUGGAGAAGAUUUGUAAUGGCCAACUCACAACAGGGUCUUUCACCAAAUUAAGAAAAUUAAAAGUCGUAUCAUGCAAUGGAUUGAAGAAUCUCUUCUCAUUCUCCAUGGUUAGAAACCUAUCUCAGCUUCAGGAAAUGACAGUAGAAUAUUGCCAGAACAUUGAAGAGAUUGUGAUCGAUCAAAGUGGCGUAGGAGAAGACAAUAUAGAAGUGGCUGAGUUCAGUCAAUUACGUUCCCUGACACUACGAGCUCUCCCAGCGCUCAAAAGCUUUUGCUUGAAAGUGAAGGAGUCGACGAGUGAUGAUGGAGGAUCCAAUGAAAUUGUGUUAGAGGAUGACGUUCAUAAUCCACGGCCACUUUUCGAAAAAAUGGUUUCAUUUCCCAACUUGGAGGAACUCUAUGUAGAGUCCAUAGAUUUGAAGUAUUUAUUCACAACUUCAUUUGUCAAAAGCCUUUUACGGCUCAAGAUACUUCAGAUAUUUAAAUGUGGGUUCAUGGAAAGGAUAAUUCUCACAGAAGAAUUUGCAGAAGAAGAGAGACCGGAUAAGAUAAUCUUCUCUGAUUU